rnacentral:rRNA from 1 species
GAUGAACGCUGGCGGCGUGCCUUAUACAUGCAAGUCGAGUGGGUUUAGACCCACGGCAAACGGGUGAGUAACACGUAGGUACUUUCCUUGUCACAGGAAUAACCCUCCGAAAGGAGGGCUAAUACCUGAUGUGAUCGCAAGAUUAAAGGGUAUCCGCAAGGAUUACCGGACAAUAAGAGGCCUGCGGCCUAUCAGCUAGUUGGCGGGGUAAAUGCCCACCAAGGCUAUGACGGGUAGCUGGUCUUAUGAGGAUGAUCAGUCACAUGGGAACUGAGACACGGGUCCAACACCUACGGGAGGCGGCAGUAGGGAAUUUUGCGCAAUGGGCGAAAGCCAGACGCAGCGACGCCGCGUGCGGGAUGAAGGCCUUCGGGUCGUAAACCGCUUUUAUAAGGGACGAACUUUGACGGUACCUUAUGAAUAAGAGGUUGCUAACUCUGUG